rnacentral:rRNA from 1 species
GAAGACUUUGCCGGAUUAGCUGAGAGGUGGUGCAUGGCCGUCGUCAGUUCGUACUGUGAAGCAUCCUGUUAAGUCAGGCAACGAGCGAGACCCACGCCCACAGUUGCCAGCGUACUCUCUGGAGUGACGGGUACACUGUGGGGACGCCGCUGCUAAAGCGGAGGAAGGAAUGGGCAACGGUAGGUCAGUAUGCCCCGAAUAUCCCGGGCUACACGCGAGCUACAAUGGUUGGUACAAUGGGUAUCUACCCCGAAAGGGGAUGGAAAUCUCCUAAAGCCAAUCUUAGUCCGGAUUGAGGGCUGCAACUCGCCCACAUGAAGCUGGAAUCUGUAGUAAUCGUGUCUCAAAAUGGCACGGUGAAUAUGUCCCUGCUCCUU